UACGUAGGGGGCAAGCGUUGUCCGGAAUUAUUGGGCGUAAAGGGCUCGUAGGUUGCCAACUAAGUCAGACGUGAAAUCCCUCGGCUUAACCGGGGAACUGCGUCUGAUACUGGAUGGCUUGAGUUCGGGAGAGGGAUGCGGAAUUCCUGGUGUAGCGGUGAAAUGCGCAGAUAUCAGGAGGAACACCGGUGGCGAAGGCGGAUCUCUGGGCCUUACCUGACGCUGAGGCGCGAAAGCGUGGGGAGCGAACGGG
rnacentral:rRNA from 1 species